GGGCCGAGCUCGGCUGUUUCCGUACGCGGCCGCUGCGCACUCGGCACUGGGCGGCGCUGGCUGGCUCCCUGGCUGCGAGUCCUCAGUCGGCGGCGGCUGCUGCUGCCUGUGGCCCGGGCGGCUGGGAGAAGCGGAGUGUUGGUGAGUGACGCGGCGGAGGUGUAGUUUGACGCGGUGUGUUACGUGGGGGAGAGAAUAAAACUCCAGCGAGAUCCGGGCCGCGAACGAAAGCAGUGACGGAGGAGCUUGUACCACCGGUAACUAAAUGACCAUGGAAUCUGGAGCAGAGAACCAGCAGAGUGGAGAUGCAGCUGUAACAGAAGCUGAAAACCAGCAAAUGACAGUGCAAGCCCAGCCACAGAUUGCCACAUUAGCCCAGGUAUCCAUGCCAGCAGCUCACGCAACAUCAUCUGCUCCCACCGUAACUUUAGUACAGCUGCCCAAUGGGCAGACAGUUCAAGUCCAUGGAGUUAUUCAGGCGGCCCAGCCAUCAGUUAUUCAGUCUCCACAAGUCCAGACAGUUCAGUCUUCCUGUAAGGACUUAAAAAGACUUUUCUCCGGAACUCAGAUUUCAACUAUUGCAGAAAGUGAAGAUUCACAGGAGUCAGUAGAUAGUGUAACUGAUUCCCAAAAACGAAGAGAAAUUCUUUCAAGGAGGCCUUCCUACAGGAAAAUUUUGAAUGACUUAUCUUCUGAUGCACCAGGAGUGCCAAGGAUUGAAGAAGAGAAGUCGGAAGAGGAGACUUCAGCACCUGCCAUCACCACUGUAACGGUGCCAACUCCAAUUUACCAAACUAGCAGUGGACAGUAUAUUGCCAUUACCCAGGGAGGAGCAAUACAGCUGGCUAACAAUGGUACCGAUGGGGUACAGGGCCUGCAAACGUUAACCAUGACCAAUGCAGCUGCCACACAGCCGGGUACUACCAUUCUACAGUAUGCACAGACCACUGAUGGACAGCAGAUCUUAGUGCCCAGCAACCAAGUUGUUGUUCAAGCUGCCUCUGGAGAUGUACAAACAUACCAGAUUCGCACAGCGCCCACUAGCACCAUUGCCCCUGGAGUUGUUAUGGCGUCCUCCCCAGCACUUCCUACGCAGCCGGCCGAAGAAGCAGCACGAAAGAGAGAGGUUCGCCUAAUGAAGAACAGGGAAGCAGCACGAGAAUGUCGUAGAAAGAAGAAAGAAUAUGUGAAAUGUUUAGAAAACAGAGUGGCAGUGCUUGAAAACCAAAACAAGACAUUGAUUGAGGAGCUAAAAGCACUUAAGGACCUUUACUGCCACAAAUCAGAUUAAUUUGGGAUUUAAAUUUUCACCUGUUAUGGUGGGAAAAGGACUGGCAUGGCCACAACCAGAAAGACAAAAUAAACAUUUUAUUUUCUAAACAUUUCUUUUUUUCUAUGCGCAAAACUGCCUGAAAGCAGCUACAGAAUUUCAUUCAUUUGUGCUUUUGCAUUAAACUGUGAAUGCUCCAACACCUGCCUCCACUUCUCCCCUCAAGAAAUUAUCAGCACCAGGAAUCAUGAAGAGACUUCUGCUUUUUAUCCCCCACCCUCUUCAAGAAGUAAUAAUUUGUUUACUUGUAAAUUGAUGGGGGAAAUGAGGAAAAGAAAAUCUUUUUUUUUUUUUUUUUUUUUUUUUUUUAAUGAUUUCAAGGUUUGUGCUGAGCUCCUUGAUUGCCUUAGGGACAGAAUUACCCCAGCCUCCUGAGCUGAAGUAAUGUGUGGGCCACAUGCAUAAAGAUGAACAGAGUUUAUGAAGGAACAUCAUUCUAAGAAUUGAGUGAUGUAGUCUUAUAUUUGGACAGUUCACCAGAUUCUCAAGAAGGCUUUCAAAUGACUGUAAAGUUUGUUGUUUAUCCUGCUGAGCUAAUGGGGAAAGUUAUAGCAUAAAAGUUAUUUGUAUACCAGCGUAGAUAUAUCAUUUUCCAAAACUGGUUUAACAGAAACCAAUCAAAAAAUCAUAAAUCUAUUCACAAACUUAGAAUACUUUCUUAAUGAAUUAAAAUGUCAAAACUGGACAUUUUGAAAGUCAUAAGCUUUAUAUAAAUGAAAAUUGCCUAGUAUUUAGCAAUUCAGUGUUUUUCAAAAGUUGAGGCUUUCUGUUUAAUUAGAAAGUUGGUGGUCCUCUUAGUCCCUGAUAAGUCAAGGCAGUCACAUCCAUUUUAACUGGUUGGAUUUGUAAGUUAUCAAGACCAGGUCCUUUGUACCUUAAGGAUGAUUGCACUGGUUUGAAGUCAGUUGCUUAAUGCUGAGGUAAUAUAUUCUGUUGCUGAAUCUGUUUAGACCCUUGAAGAGACUUGAAGAUUUCAGUUUAUACAGGUAGAAGAAAUUAAGCAUCUUUUGUGCAGACUUUUUUUAAUGAGAAUUGGGGUGGGGGGGUGUUUGUUUUUAAGCAUGCAGCUUUGAGAAUCUUUAUUAAGAAAAUAACAAUUUAAAAAAAAAUCUUAUAGCCAAGAAUAUAUGUGGCCACAUUAUAAAUGCUUUUUUCUCUUCAUAUUGGCCAAAAGGGAAUAAAAAUGUCAUCAUAGGAAUCUGUAUAUAUGCUACUGAUUUGCCUAGAAAAUAGCAAGUUUGGUAUUGCUCACUUUGCAAAUAUAGGGCCAUGUGGCACUUUUAUCUAUAGGACAGAUUAACUCUAAUAAAAAUGAAGUGGGAGGGAUUUAUUUUUGAUAUAUUGCUCUUAUGAGUUUUCAAGCUUUGAUAGUGUUUAACUGAAAAGUGGCUUAGAAAGGGCUAGAUCCAAUGUAUUGACAUUAGAAAAAACUGGUAUCAGAUGUAAUUUUUAAGUUCAUUCUUUCUCAAACUCAAGUACCAUAUUGGCAACCAUAAUAUUGUCAUAGGUGCUCUGUUCGUUUAGAUAUUCUUGCGGGGGGGAGGUGGCAUUUGUAUAAUAUAUGUGUACAUAUAUAUAUAUACAUACAGUAUAUAAUCUGAAGCUCUGAGAGCUCUUACGUCAGGAAUGCUGAGUAUUAUAGUAUAUUGAGGUCAGAUGAAAUUUUACAUUUUUGCGUGUUCUGUUGCAUCCCUUUUGGUAGUUCCUUGGACUGCAUUACUCCAACACUCAUGAUUGAUUUUUUUUAUCUCCUAAUUUCCUUCCAGGUUAUUUCUUUUAUUGUUGAUUUUCUUUGGCUUGAUACUUUUAGAUUUUAGUCACUCGAGCGCCCCCUUUCCCCCAAAGUAUUUGGUUUUUGUGCUUUGUCUCUGGCAGCUAUGUAACAGUGGUGAGAACACUUUGAAGACAGCUUCUAAAAGGUACCACUGAUUUUUCACAAAUCAUCCUGGGGGAGAAAUUUUGGUGUUUUUAUUUGAGCAGGGAUUUUUGUCAGAAAAUGUGUUUUGAUGGUAAGUCAGCAGCAGUGCUAGUAUCUGAAAGCACAAUACCAGUCAGGCAGGCUAUCCGAUCAGAAGUCAUCUGGCUGAAGUUUAUCUCUGUCUCUCAGGCCUAAUCCCUACUAUCAUUUUGACCAUUUUGGGGUGACAUGUGGAAUCAUACAAAGGCUUAGGAAGAAACAAGUUUAUUUAAACCAGGAUGCUUUUACUUACUUGAAGUAACGUCAAUCUAGGUUUCUUCUUUCAUUUCUAGUAUGUUUUUAAUUCUGUAAUCAGCUGCAAUCAGCUGUUAGCAUAAAUUGGUCUCUUUAUUUUGAAGAUCAAAAAGCUGCUUCAUUUUGCAGGAUUAAAAUAAAGGCUAAUAUCUUAAAGUUAAGAUUUUGAAUUAAAAUGGGUUUUAGAGACAAUUGUUAAACACCUUUUCAGUUUUUCCAAGAGGCUUUAUUUGUUGCCUUUAUACCCUGAAAACUGUUGGUAUAUUGUUUCCCAUUGACUUAUUACAAAAGUUGUAUAUUUAUUUGGAUUAUAUUUACAUUAUGUAUUUUGUAAAUGUUUGGUGUAACUUGCACUUUUAAAAACAACCCAGUUUGGGUAUUAGCAAACUUGAGAAAUUCCCUCACCAAUUAAUUGUCAUCUGACUUUUUACAUCUUUUCUCCUCUCGUCAAAUCAUGUGGCUUUUUUAUGGAAGCCUUUCAUUGAUUAAAAUAUUUUAGCACCUACAGGCUAGCCUUAUAAACAGCUAUAAAAGAAAAAUAUCAGGAAAUUAAAUUUGACUAGCUCAAUUAAUUAAAAGAUGGGUUCAAACCCUAUCUCACUCAUUUUCAUCAUGGAUAAAGAUAGAAGGAAAAGCAACUCUCAAGUGAAUAAAUAUUUAUUUCCAAUUUUAAAUGAGACUCUGUCCUCACCCCAACAUUAAUACUGUUUAUAGAAUCCCAAGAUAUCCAUGAAUUUGUCUAAAACAGUAAAAGAUUUUUCAAGGCAAUUAAUUAUUAUCAUCAUGAAGAACACAUUUGACUAAGUUUUUUCACUUUAAAUUGGCAUUGUUAACGUCAAAGAAAUGCUACUGAAAUCUGACUGAUUUCAGAUGAGAUGGGGAAAGUGAAGUGAGUAAGCCUGUGGGUGAAGAAUUGUGGGAUAAACUUGUUCACUCAGUUGUACAAAGCACAACUAGAAUUUUUUGUUGGAUGGCUUACAUGUAUCUUGAAUACUUUUAAUGUUGAUAUGUUGACUUUUUUAAGUUGACUGCACAGUCGCUGUAUGUACUAGGAACUGGUUUCCUUGACUUUCAAGAAUCAAUGGCUAAGAGAGGCACUAAUCCCUGAGGGGUCGAACAUAUCAUGAAGCUGAGUCAGUAUGGAAGACUUUCAAAUAAAUCAAACAGGGUGCUGAAGUUCCAUCUGUCUCAUCUGCUUGUGGUAAGUUCUUACUGAUUAGUGAAUGUAGCUUAAGCCUUUGUAUGUGUCCUCAGGGGACAGACAAACUUUUAAGAGGGACCAGAUAACGUUUGAAUGGAGGGAUUAUAUUUCAGGUGUUUUAGCUUGAAAUUUAUUUUUUAAAAAAAUAAAAAUAGAAAAAAAUAGAACAAAGCCUGUGAAGCAAGUUGAUAUUAUAAACAGGCAGAGUUGUUUAGCACAGAGAGAAAAUAUUGACCUGUCUGCAUUCUGGUACUGUGCAUACAGGUCCUAGCUGGGUAAAACAGGAUACAUUUUGAAUUCUCACCAGCAAGUAAAAGGAAAAUGAACAGUCUUCAGGAAAUGCCCUUGAAAGGGUCAAAACAGUAGGAAAUUCACAUUUUACCUACUUUAUACAGGCAUUAUAUAAUACUUGCCUACAGAAGUAUGGCAUUUCCAAGCUUCUGUCUGAGGAGCAUCUCAGAGAUGUGAGUGAAUCUGAGAUGGUUUAAACAUUGGUAGGGAAGGAAGAAGAUCCCUGCAGAUAAUGAUCUUAUGUUUGUUGGCCAAGUGAAAUGGUCUUGCAUUGUGUUGGGAGCUUUUAUUUUCUUAAGUUUUUAAAGUUCAAUUGGUAAAUAAAUGCUUUAUAGACAUUGUAUUUUUAUCCAGGUGCCACUCCAAUUUGUAUACGUAAUAAAAUUACUUAUAUUAAAAGUGGGAAAUAAUUUGUCAACAUUUUUCCGUGAGUAUAGAUUAGGGUGGCAAGGAAGAGUGCUAAUUCAUAGUUUUCCAUGUAAAGUCAUCCCCAACUGAUUUGUCACAUGUCAGCUGUCAUCCCCGCCCAAUAAAGGAAUUAUUUCUAACCUAACUCUAUCACUUGAAACUUUUUAGAAACAAAAUAAUCAGGGAAGCUUCUAGAGAGAAAGGUGUUUGGGUUUUUCGUUUUGGUUUUUUGGUUUUUCCUUGAGGAUUGGGGUAAAGAAUACCUCCCCCCAAAACUGUCAGCACAAAACAGGGUAUUUAUUGACUUUUAACUCUGAUGCUGCUAUUGGAGUUGAAUACUAAAUCAAUAACUAUAGUGAGGGAAAUACAUUUCUAAUAAAAUUCCCUACAUUCUAGAAACAUCCCUGUUUUAAUUUUUUUACCUAAAUCUUCUUGUGCUUUAUCUGUGUAAAGAGAAAAAAUGUACUGAGUUAUAAUUCAUUUUAUUAACACUAUGUACAUAUUAGCUGCUUUGUGUUCAGAAUGGUAGCAAUUGCUUUGUAUAUUAAAGUGAUCCUUGUGAAUUUGUGAAAUAUUGUCAUAAAGUGCUUUUUCUUACUGUACUCUUUGUGGUAUCAACUGUCAUAAUGCCCUUUUUACACAAACAUUUAUGUGCAGACACAUAAACAUGCUUUAAAAAACUUUGUAAGUCUCUUUUUUGGGGAUGGGAUCUCUGUUUUGAUCUUUUCUGGUCAUGUUAAGCUAUGUUUUGUGGACUUGGGUUUAUUUUGUUAAAGAGCAAAAGUUAUAUUAGAAUAUAUCAUAAACUUGUGCUUCACAGGAACAGAAAACCAAUUCAAGCAACAAGAAUAUAUCUUCAGUUACUGAAUUUUACUGUAUUUCUAGUUUUUAGCACAAGAUUUCUUUUUUCAGUAAAGUUGAACAGUGCCUAUUUGAAGAUUUGGAGAUAUUACUGCACUGUUGAGACAACCAUUAGGAGACAUGGCCAGCUGUCUCUGAUGUCAUAAAAUGCAUGUUUGCACUGGAAGAACGUUAAAAACAGAUGACUUCUUAGAUCCCCUUGUAAUUCUAAAGUUCUGUGAUCAUAUAAAAUGGAAGGAAAGGGGAGGAGUGUGAUUAAUCUGCUCUUUGCUUAAAGCACAAGAAUAAAAAUUCCUCUCCUGUACUAUUGAUUUAAUUUCUGGAAGUAAGUGGUUGCAAUCUAAAGUACUUUUUUUUAAAUUGCCAUGAUGUUAAGCUUGUUACACCUGCCAUUGUAUUGAAGGAAUUAGAUGAGUUCUGUUCCCUUUUUUUCUUCUACAAGGAGUGGCCACAUAAUUUUUUGUACAGACAUUUUUGAGAGUGAAAGAUGAUAUUACACAGGGACAACAGGUGUACACCAGGAUCGUGCUAAGCAGAUCAGGACCUCCCUGUAAGGCAUGUUCAGGUGCUUGGACCUCCAGUAAAAACAGAGGGUCUUAUCUUCUCUCCAUCUGUACCUUUGCUGUCACUUGCUCACUUCACACAUACUUGCUGAGAACACACUUCUGGGUACUGAAAAGUCCCUGUUUUCAAGAAGCUCUAAGACACGGCCAAGGAAACAAUUCCAACAUGUUUGUACCAUUUUAGUCCUGAGCUCCAGACCCGUAUUUGUCAUUUCUAGUCCAACUGCAAAACAGGUCUAAAACAACUUAGUUUCUCCUCUAAAUCUCUUCCUUCAGCUGAUUCUCUUCCAUCUUGUAGAUACCAUUAUCCACUGAACUGGUCAAGGCAAAAACCCAGAAAAGUGCUGCUUUAAUCAGUGUUAUCCUUCCUCUCGUCAUGCAUUUUGAUUUCUCCACAACUUUUAAGCACAUUGACCAAACUAGGGCUUAGAAUUCUAGUGUGGGCCUAACAAAGAGGAAAGGUAAUUCCCAAGAGUUUGAAUGUUACUUCUGUUUUUUGAUAGAGGUGCAAUUAGCAUAACAAAAUUUAUCAUUUUAAAGUGAACACUUCAGCGGCAUUUAGUGCAUUCAUAAUGUUGUAUGACUACCACCCAUAUCUAGUUCCAAAACAUUUUUGUUACUCCAAAAUAAAAGAGUUGCUCUCAAUUUUCCCCUCCCUCCAGCACCUGUCAGCCAUCAAUCUGCUUUCUGUUUCUGUAGAUUUACCCAUUCUGGAUAUGUCACAUAAUUGUACAAUGUGUGACAUUUUGAGUCUGGUUCCUUUCAGUUAACAAUGUUUUUGAGGUUCCUCCACACUAGCAUUUAUCAGUACUCCAUUCCUUUUUAUGGCUAGAUAAUAUUCCAAUGUAUGUAUAUGCCAGUUUGUUACCUGCUCAUCUGUUCAUGGGCAUUUGGGUUGUUCCCACUUUGGGGCUAUUGUAAAUAGUGCUGUGGACAUUCAUGUGCCAGUGUUUGAGUCAUACUGAGCAUCUUUUCAUGAGUUUCUUGGCCAUUUGUAUAUCUUCUUUGAGAGAAAUGUCCAAGUUCAUUGCUCAUUGUUAAUGGUUUUGUUUGUUUUUUGAGUUCCUCAUAUAUUCUGGAUACUAGACCCUUACUAGAUAAUAUAAUUUACAAAUAUUUUCUCCCAUUCUGUACAUUUUCUUUUCACUUUCAUGAUAAUAUCCUCAUUCUUAUUUUUUUAACUUGGUACAUUUGGGGAAAAACAACUACAAAAUGGGCAGGCCAUAAAAAAUGCAGUUUAUGUGUCCUUUUACUGUCAGUCUGCAUAUGUGCGCAAAUGCAAUGUAUAUUCUCUACUCCCUUUUUUACAUAAAUGGUGCUUUUAUUCACUGAA